UCAGCUUAUCCUGUGAAGGCCUAUUAAUAAGCAAAAUUGGCAAAGCCUAAAACGUCAGGUCGAGGUGUAGCGUACGGAAAGGGAAGCAAUGGGCUACAUUCCCUACAUUAGGUAACUACGGACGAUGAAUUGAAAAAUUUAUCCGAAGGAGGAUUUAGUAGUAAGAGAAGAAUAGAGAGCUUCUCUGAAACCGGCCCUGAAGCGCGCACACACCGCCCGUCACUCUCCCCAAGCUCCAUAAAACCCAUAACUAAUUAACCAAUUUUGCUAAGGGGAGGCAAGUCGUAACAUGGUAAGUGUACUGGAAGGUGCACUUGGACAAAC
rnacentral:rRNA from 1 species